rnacentral:rRNA from 1 species
UGAGGAAUAUUGGUCAAUGGGCGUAAGCCUGAACCAGCCAAGUCGCGUGAGGGAUGAAGGUUCUAUGGAUCGUAAACCUCUUUUAUAAGGGAAUAAAGUGCGGGACGUGUCCUGUUUUGUAUGUACCUUAUGAAUAAGGAUCGGCUAACUCCGUGCCAGCAGCCGCGGUAAUACGGAGGAUCCGAGCGUUAUCCGGAUUUAUUGGGUUUAAAGGGUGCGUAGGCGGCCUUUUAAGUCAGCGGUGAAAGUCUGUGGCUCAACCAUAGAAUUGCCGUUGAAACUGGGGGGCUUGAGUAUGUUUGAGGCAGGCGGAAUGCGUGGUGUAGCGGUGAAAUGCAUAGAUAUCACGCAGAACCCCGAUUGCGAAGGCAGCCUGCCAAGCCAUGACUGACGCUGAUGCACGAAAGCGUGGGGAUCAAACAGGAUUAGAUACCCUGGUAGUCCACGCAGUAAACGAUGAUCACUAGCUGUUUGCGAUACACUGUAAGCGGCACAGCGAAAGCGUUAAGUGAUCCACCUGGGGAGUACGCCGGCAACGGUGAAACUCAAAGGAAUUGACGGGGGCCCGCACAAGCGGAGGAACAUGUGGUUUAAUUCGAUGAUACGCGAGGAACCUUACCCGGGUUUGAACGCAUUCGGACCGAGGUGGAAACACCUUUUCUAGCAAUAGCCGUUUGCGAGGUGCUGCAUGGUUGUCGUCAGCUCGUGCCGUGAGGUGUCGGCUUAAGUGCCAUAACGAGCGCAACCCUUGCCACUAGUUACUAACAGGUAAAGCUGAGGACUCUGGUGGGACUGCCAGCGUAAGCUGCGAGGAAGGCGGGGAUGACGUCAAAUCAGCACGGCCCUUACAUCCGGGGCGACACACGUGUUACAAUGGCGUGGACAAAGGGAAGCCACCUGGCGACAGGGAGCGAAUCCCCAAACCACGUCUCAGUUCGGAUCGGAGUCUGCAACCCGACUCCGUGAAGCUGGAUUCGCUAGUAAUCGCGCAUCAGCCAUGGCGCGGUGAAUACGUUCCC